ensembl:misc_RNA Metazoa_SRP Metazoan signal recognition particle RNA
GCCAGGCAUGGUGGUGCAUGCCUGUAGCCCCAGCUACUCAGGAGGCUGAGACAGGAGGCUUGCUUGAGCCCAGGUGGUCAAGGCUGCAGUGAGCUAUGACUGCACCACUGUAUCCCAGCCUGGGUGACAGAGUAAGACCCUGUCUCAA